ACUGUGAUAAGAAGAAGACUGUUAGAACAGAAAGCCCAGCUCACACAGGGCCUCAUGCAGUCACACAGAACUGUCCUGCCCACUGUGUGCCAACAAGACAAGUAUCUCCCACGCCAUUCUUCCUCAGUUGACAGAUGAAAAACCACAGGUAGCGUCUUACAGGCAGCGUCUUAACUACACACACUCAGCUAAGGACAAAUGGACAGAGCUUCAAGAAGCUGAGGUUCUUUCCACAGAGGUGCACGUCCGCAGCUCUGCAACGGCCACACAGGCUCAAGGCCGAGCAAAGGUAGACUUAUCCUGAGAAAAGGUAUUACACAGGUUUUACGAGUGGGGGUGAGGCGAUCUUAAAUGUGAAAUGCACUAUGUGGUGCUGGGUUAGAUGCAGGGCUGUAAUCUUUGCCGCUGAAAAGCUUGCUUGGCUGGGCAUGGUGGUACACUUCCAAGAUCCUGGUAUUUGGAUGAGAGGUAAGAGGAUCAGGAGUUCAAGGUCAUCCUUGGCCAGCAAAAACUAUCUUACCUAAAAUAAGCACUUAAACUCCAGAGAGAGGGGCUGGGCUGUAGCUCAGUUGGCUGAGUGCUGGCCUAGUAGGCACGGAUACCUGGGCCUUGAUCCCCAGCAUCAUCUAUAUCAGGAGAGCUGGCAUGAACCAACAGUCCCAGCACGCAGGAAGUAGAGGCAGGAGGAAACGAGAGACUGUUCCAAACCAAGCCAAAGCAAAGCAAAGCAAAGCACACACCCACACACCUUACCCACACCUUUACACCAUCGUCAUAUGCACACCUCACUAUACACAUACCCUAAGAGAAAGGGCUUAUUCUACGGUGGGGACAAGAGUUCGAAAUCUGGAAACAUCCGGCUGUGUUAGAAGAGUAAGAGCAAAGAGCUGCAAAGCAGAAUGUGUUUGCAGGGUUCUCACUAAGCAUGGAGGCAGGGGCAGGUGGGGCCUUUGAGUCCUAGUCUACAGAGUGGCCUUGGUCAUGGUGACUCUUCACAGUGGUAGAAGAGUAACUAAGACACAAUUCAUAAAUAGACGAAUAAGGCAGCCAGGGGCACAGGCCAGGAGUCCCAGCUACUUAGGGAGGCUGAGGCAGGAGGAUUAUGAAUUCACUCACCUUUAAAGGGUGUGAGUGGUGGGUAGAUGGCUCAGUGGGUAAAGUGUUUGCUGUACAAAUUAAGGAACCAACUCCAGAUCCCAGCACCCACAUAAAAACCAGGGGUGGUAGCACCUGCCUAAACCCAGUGCUGGGGGCAAGAGAAAAAGACAAGACUCACUGGCCAAGCAGUCCAGCUGAGAUGCUGAGUUCUAGGGCAGUGGGACUCUGUCUCAAGAAAGUAAGAUGGAGGCCAGGUAUGAUGGUGUGUAGGCCUUUAAUACCAGCACUUGGGAUGUGGAGACAGGUGGAUCUCUCGGAGUUCAAGAUCAAUAUGGUCUACACAAGUUCCGGGACAGUCAGAGCUACUCAAUGACACACCCUGCCUCAAAAAACAAGCAAACAAACAAACAACAACAACAACAACAACAAAAGAAAACAACAACAACAACAACAACAACAACAAAAAACAAAGCAAACCCAACGAACAACAUUAAGAAAAGAGAAGGAAGGAGAGUGGAAGAAGACACCUGACACACACCUCCGCCUUGCCCAGGCAGGUACCACCACCCACACACAAAUAAAAUCAAAGAAAUGGGGAUUGGGCUGCAUCUCAGCAGAGUCUGAGCAGCAAGUGUGGAGCCGGGGUCCAACCCCAGCAUCACAAAAAUAAGUAAGCAAAUACAAAGUUCUUAUUCGUAAAUAGAACACAGAAUAGAGAAGGCCUGCCAAUAUUAGAAAACAGUUAUUCAGGGUUGGUGAGAUGACUCAGCAGUGAAGAGCACCGACUGCUCUUCCAGAGGUCCUGAGUUCAAUUCCCAGCAACCACAUGGUGGCUCACAACCAUCUGUAAUGGGAUCUGAUGCCGUCUUCUGGUGUGUCUGAAGACAGCAACAGUGUACUUAUAAUAAAUAAAUAAAUAAAUAAAUAAAUCUUUAAAAAAAAAAAAAAGUUAUUCAGCCUUUAAUCCCCGCAGAGGCAGGCAGAUCCCCGAGUUCCAGAAGAGCCAGGGCCAUCCUGGGAAAUUCAAAACAACUCACACAAAACUAAAACCAACCAAACAAGAACCAGCACAGUUAUGUGACAUUAACAAUGUCACAGCUGACCCACACAAUUACUCAGAGUGACUGUGACUUUACAGGAAGGAUCCAUCUCAAUCAAGGGACAAGUGUCACCUGCGAUGUACCCUCCUUCACCUCAACACAGAGGACCCAGCACUGCCAAGUUGCCCACACCAAAACACUGAAGCUGGUGUGUGCACACCAGCAAUCCUGGCACUCAGGAGACUGAGGCAGGGGAUUUCGGAGUCUGAGGACCACAGCUGAGUGGGACCGGCUGCUGCACCAACACUUCCUGAUCCUGACUCUUAACUGUGGAGCUAUGGCUCCGGGACCCCCUCCCAUCUUCUAGUGACUGAGCUCCAGUCUGUAGCCAUGUGGACCUCCCACCUUAUAGACAUUCUGUCAGUUAUAUUGAACGCUAUAACUAGAGGUGUAAACCACCAUACCUGCUGUUCUUCCUUGAUCUGUUCACACAAACCCAGGAUGCCCUGUGUUGGGCAUUCAUCUGUGCUGGUCACACAUAUGGCCUGUCCUGCCUUCUUCCUA